AUUGAACGCUGGCGGCAGGCCUAACACAUGCAAGUCGAGCGGAUGAAGGGAGCUUGCUCCUGGAUUCAGCGGCGGACGGGUGAGUAAUGCCUAGGAAUCUGCCUGGUAGCGGGGGAUAACGUCCGGAAACGGGCGCUAAUACCGCAUACGUCCUGAGGGAGAAAGUGGGGGAUCUUCGGACCUCACGCUAUCAGAUGAGCCUAGGUCGGAUUAGCUAGUUGGUGGGGUAAAGGCCUACCAAGGCGACGAUCCGUAACUGGUCUGAGAGGAUGAUCAGUCACACUGGAACUGAGACACGGUCCAGACUCCUACGGGAGGCAGCUGUGGGGAAUAUUGGACAAUGGGCGAAAGCCUGAUCCAGCCAUGCCGCGUGUGUGAAGAAGGUCUUCGGAUUGUAAAGCACUUUAAGUUGGGAGGAAGGGCAGUAAGUUAAUACCUUGCUGUUUUGACGUUACCAACAGAAUAAGCACCGGCUAACUUCGUG
rnacentral:rRNA from 1 species